AGUGGCGGACGGGUGAGUAAUGUCUGGGAAACUGCCUGAUGGAGGGGGAUAACUACUGGAAACGGUAGCUAAUACCGCAUAACGUCGCAAGGCCAAAGAGGGGGACCUUCGGGCCUCUUGCCAUCGGAUGUGCCCAGAUGGGAUUAGCUAGUAGGUGGGGUAACGGCUCACCUAGGCGACGAUCCCUAGCUGGUCUGAGAGGAUGACCAGCCACACUGGAACUGAGACACGGUCCAGACUCCUACGGGAGGCAGCAGUGGGGAAUAUUGCACAAUGGGCGCAAGCCUGAUGCAGCCAUGCCGCGUGUAUGAAGAAGGCCUUCGGGUUGUAAGGUACUUUCAGCGGGGAGGAAGGGAGUAAAGUUAAUACCUUUGCUCAUUGACGUUACCCGCAGAAGAAGCACCGGCUAACUCCGUGCCAGCAGCCGCGGUAAUACGGAGGGUGCAAGCGUUAAUCGGAAUUACUGGGCGUAAAGCGCACGCAGGCGGUUUGUUAAGUCAGAUGAGAAAUCUCCGCGCUCAGACUGUGAACUGCAUCUGAUACUGGCGAGCUCGAGUCAUCGUAAAAGGGAGGUACAAUUCACGAGUGUGGCUGUAAAGAAGCAGUAGUAGAUCGGGGAGGAGCGCCAGGUGCGGGACGCAUCCCCAGCACUACGCUGACGCUCAGGUCCUAGUCGGUCG
rnacentral:rRNA from 1 species